rnacentral:RNase_P_RNA from 1 species
ACGUAAACGCUGCCUUUAAUUAGGUAGAGGAAAGUCCACGCUCACACGGUUCUGUGAUAGACCGUAGUGUUCAUGCAAAGGGAACAAAUAACCUUUGGUAGGAGUAAUCCUAACGGCGCCGAAUAAGUCUAAGUCUUUGAUAAGACUUUAUUAGGCAUAAAGUGCCAUAGUGACGAUUUUACUUGGAAACGAGUAAGGUGGAACGGGUAAACCCCAUGAGUGAGAAACCCAAAUUUGGUAGGGGAACCCAUAUGAAGGAAACGAACGGAUUAUGGGAUGCUUUAAUGCAUAGAUAAAUGUUUACGACCAGUUAAUCUGGUACAGAACGUGGCUUAUU